UCUCUCUGAAUCUGCGAACGGCUCCGCAAACCAGUUGUAAACUAUAGCAAGCAAGCUCAGGGUCGGCUCUCGCGGGCUGGUUCUGGGCGAUAUGGAUAACCCUGGUAAUUCUGAGGCUAAUACAUGACCGCAAAACUUGGAGGACUGGCCUCGGCUGGGAAUCCGGGGGAUGUGCGAUUUAAGCUUGGUAUUUCUGGGAAGGGGCGCACGUUCAGACCACACUAAAAAGGUCGGGUCCCUUCGGGGGCCUGUCCCAGUGGCUCUUGCUGUGUGCUUCUGACCUAUCAACUAGACGGCAGCGUAACGGACAUGCUUUGGUGACAACGGGUACAGAGGAUUAGGGUUCGAUCCUGGAGAGUGGGCCUGAGAGAUU
rnacentral:rRNA from 1 species